rnacentral:lncRNA from 1 species
CAGUCCCAGAGGCGACGCGAUUUGCCCGAAGUCUGCAACUUCCUGGAACUGGAAACCAAUCGGAAGACUUCCGCGUCGCGGCUCUUUCCGCCGUGAUCAGGUUACCCAGCGCCUCGGGACCUGCUUUUGAAAAGGAGAGGUCGACCUGGGAGAGCCGCUGAACGAGAUACUCUUCGGAAUCGGUAACUGCUUAUGGCAGGCGGUGAGAGAGUGGGGGUGAUACAGUGUGGAACCUGCGUCCCCCCAAAACAUAAUGUCAACACUUUCAAAUUGCUUUCCGAGAUCCCGAAUUUUAGGGGGUGCAUCUUCCAGGGGGGGGGCCUGGGAGCUUACCUGUUUUGUUUACCCGCCCAAGUGCCUAAUGCAGAGUAGUUACCUAAUAAAUAUUUGCCGAGCGGAUGACUGCACAGCCGAAUGAGCCCCGUUCCAUCAUAGGGAUGUAGGAGGAUUUGCGGAGCCAAGCCCCACCUGGGAGGCACCUAAGUCCUUGCCAGUUUUUCUCAAUUAUGGCUCUGCAACGAAUAUCCUCUGUGCAUAAAUCCUUGACUGCAUCUCUUGAUUAUUUCCUCAGGAUAUUUUCCUCGAAGUGGGAUUACUGGGUUGAAGGGUAUGCACAUAUGUAAGGCUCUUGAUUCAGAGUCCCUCCAGCCGCGCCAGAAUGAGUCAGCUUCCCAGCAAGCUGGCCAAAACUCGGUAUCAUCGGCCUUCAUUUUUAUUUCUCUCUGUCUUUUUUCUUUGCCAUCUUGAUAAGAUAAAAAUGAUAUCCCAUUUUAUUUGCAUUUCUUUGUGGACUAAUUAGGUGGAGAUUGGACUAACUUUAAAGAAAUAUUCUUAAGGAGCACCGAGAAAUCCUGUGUGGAAAAGGAGACCGUGACACCAGGCACAUUCUGCCCAGUGAGGUGAAACCAAAGGGCUCCAAUGGUCUGGUGUGAUUUGACCAGAAGAUGUAAACACAUUUGAGCCUUGCUCCAGAGGCUUCCCCUGAGCAAGGGAGGGGAAGCUGUGACUUACUAGCUUCCCUAUGUUUGUUAUUUUUUGUUAUUUUCAUUUCCUGAUGAGGAGUAAAUGUUUCAUAAAGCAAAUGAAAACCCUGUGUAAUUAUCUUUAAGGACAGCAAGAAAAAGUAGAAGUGGGAAAACUAGUUCACUUUAACGUCAUGGGAAAGGGGGAGGGGGGAGGGGUGAAGUUUGAAGCCUGUUUCCAGGCGGUGGGAGGGAAGUCCCUGAAGAUGGGGCUGGCAGUGGGGCGGGGAGGGAGUGAGCAAGAGGCUUCCCAGGGCUCUGGAGACUUCCUUCUGGAAAGGCUGCUGUGUGUUUGUAGCGCUUAUGAGGCCUGUGGUCCCUGGGGACCUGGAAGGGGCGUUUAAUGGACUUUUGAGAAUCAAAGUCAGAUUGCCAGGGACAAAGGAAGGUUGUGAGGAAAUGGAGGCCACUGCAUCUCCGGCCGUGCUCCGGGAAUGGGGAGAAGGUACCUGUGGCAUUUUCCCCAGACAACGGGAGAUGGUGGUCCCUAGAGCUUUUGUGGGCUAUGAAACGGUGGGUGCUUCUCCCCCAGUCAGAGCCGCUCCCCAGCUCUUACGAUAUCCACUAGGUUCUUCUUUAACCACACCCGAGAGGAUAACUGAUUUGCCAAUGUUUACAGGCAGUUUUAUUUACUAAUCUAGCUCUCAUUUACUGUCAACUAAAUUUAUAGUCCUAAUUACAGUCCUCAGCAUUUUCCUGAUAAUAAACAUACAGGAUGUGUUUUAUGUUUGUUUGUUUUUUUUUUAACUGUGGGGGAGUUUAUUUUCUUGAUUACUUUAAAUUUCCUAUUAAAGUCUUAAAUUUAACCAUCAGCUUCUCACAACAAUCUAUGAACUUUUCUGCCACUUUAAUUCUUCUAAAAGGGCUCAAGCCAAAUGCGAACCAGGGGUUCUUAGAGGUUUCAGUGAAUGAUUUCAAAGCCUUGUCACACUUCAAAAUCACUUGGCGGCUUUCAAAAAAUUAGUUUUCCCUCCCUCUUGGGAGACUAAUUUUUGUAGGGCUGGGACAUACUCAGAAACUAGUAUUUUUGAAAAACCUCCUCAGUGAUUCUUAAGUUGCUGCUAUAAAAGCCAGUUCUGGGAAACUGUUGUCUAAAUGCUAAAUCUAUUUUGUCUGUCUUGUUUGUUUGUUUGUUUUUAUUUAAAGAAACUCAUGCUUGUGGAGCAAGCAGGGAAGGGGUUGGGGGUGGGGGUAGAGAAUCUCAAGCAGUCUCCACGCUGUCAGAGCAGGGCUCUCACCCAUGAGUUAUGGAAUCGUGACCUGAGCCAAAACCAAGAGUCGGACGUUUAACCAACUAAACCACCCAGGCACCCCUAUUUUGUUUGUCUUUUAGUGAAAUUUGGAGAUGGCAGCUUUAACUUCCAAAAUGUUAAAUAAUGCUUUGCAUUUCCAGAAAAUACUCUUUUUUUUCACCUCCAUCGCCACCCACCCAGGGCUUGAACUUCCUGAACCCUUCAGUCCUUCCUUACCUAACACCUGAUGCCGGAUGAUGCCGUUGUUUUCACCAAUCCGUGUCCCCUCUGGUUUUCCUAGAUUCCUGCUUUCUCCCUGUGGCAGCAUGUUUUGGGCUUUCUUUUGUGAAUGACAGUUGGCCUUUCUUCCUGUGCUUUCUUAAGCCCUGCUGCUCUUCAAGGUGUCCUGGAUACUUGAGGUAACGGACCAGGCGCCAUAGAAUCCGCUCCCACAACUGGCAUAAGGUGCUGUGACUCUCAGAUCUUCACCUCUCACUGUUUCUCUGGGAAGUCUCCAGGUCCCCACAUUUCAACUACCUACCAAGCAUUUACUCUUAGAUAUCCCACAAAGCACCUCAGACUCAGUGUUUCUCAAAUAUUACAUCCCUAGCUAUGUUUGUUUCUGUGAGGUUUUUUGUUUGUUUUGGGUUUUGUUUUUUGGUUUUUUUUUUUAGUAAUUUCACCCAACAUGGUGCUCGAACUCACGACCCUAAGAUCAAGAGUCACACACUCUUCCUACUGUGCCAGACAGGUGCCCCUGUUCUUUGUGUUUUUUAUCUCAAUGAAGGGCUCUACCACAUUAGUCAAGCUAGAAACAUGGGGGUAACCCCAUUCAUUCAUUUAAAACCACUAUUCUAGGCACUGGGGAUAACAGAAACUACAAAAAGUCGUGCCCUCCAAAAACUUGUAUUCCAGAAGGGGAAAACAGAGUAAGCAAUCAGUCCCCAAAUCUAACAGAUUCCAACUUAUUAUUUUUUUUAAAGGUGAGCCACCUUUUUUUUUUUUUUUUAAUAUUUAUUUUUGAGAAAGAGCAAGUGGGGCAGGGGCAGAGAGAGAGGGGGACAGAGGAUCAGAAGCAGGUUCUAUGCUGACAACAGAAAGCCCGAUGUGGGGCUCGAACUCACAAGCCACACGAUCAUGAAUGGAGCUGAAGUCAGACACUCAACCGACUAAGCCAGGCAGGCACCCCCAGAUUCCAACUUCUAAUAUCUCUAGACUCUGUCUCUCCAGUCACCACCUUAGUUCAAACCCUUGAUGGCCUCCCUCUUUCUCUUACUCCCUCCAGCCCAUUCUCCCGACAGCAGUGGGGAGCUGAAUCUUAAAUUGUAGCCUCUAGCUUUAAGCUUUCCAUCCCUCCAGGAGAGAGUCUUUCUUUGCAAUCUGGGUUAAAGGGUUUUAUAGCCUCUAGGCCCUGCUGGCCUUUCCAUCACUCAUCUCCACCCCGGUGAGCCACACUCUCCUCAGGCCACACUGAAUUAUAGCUGCAGGCUUCCCAUACCUGCCAUUCCACGCCUUCCCUCCUGCUUAGCUGACUCCUUGUCUGCUUUGCAGGUCUUAGCUCAGGUACUAUGACAGGCAGCUUCUGAGGUGGCCCCCACUGAUCCCUGGCUCCUCAUAUCCAGCCCUUGGGAUUCUGAAGAAAGGAAUGUGGCAGAAGCUGCCUUGUUGUGAACUGCUCUGUGAUGAAGGCCAUGUGACAAGGAGCAGAGGGAAGCCUCCGGCCAAAAACCUGUGAGGAACUGAAUCCUUCCAGCAAUGAUGUGAGCGAGCUUGGCACAGGGGUCCCCCCACCAAGCUGGGCCUUCAGAUGAGAUGGCCGCCCCAGCAGUCAGCAUUAACCGCAACCUCAUGGAAGACCUUCAGCCACGAGAGGCAGCCAGUUAAGUCAUGCCUGGAUUCCUGACCCAAAAAAAAACAAAAACAAAAACCUGUAAGAUAAUAAAUGUUUGUUGUCUUAAGC